UAGGGAAUCUUCCACAAUGGACGCAAGUCUGAUGGAGCAACGCCGCGUGAGUGAAGAAGGUUUUCGGAUCGUAAAGCUCUGUUGUUGGUGAAGAAGGAUAGAGGCAGUAACUGGUCUUUAUUUGACGGUAAUCAACCAGAAAGUCACGGCUAACUACGUGCCAGCAGCCGCGGUAAUACGUAGGUGGCAAGCGUUGUCCGGAUUUAUUGGGCGUAAAGCGAGCGCAGGCGGAACGAUAAGUCUGAUGUGAAAGCCCACGGCUCAACCGUGGAACUGCAUCGGAAACUGUCAUUCUUGAGUGCAGAAGAGGAGAGUGAAUUCCAUGUGUAGCGGUGGAAUGCGUAGAUAUAUGGAAGAACACCAGUGGCGAAGGCGGCUCUCUGGUCUGCAACUGACGCUGAGGCUCGAAAGCAUGGGUAGCGAACAGG
rnacentral:rRNA from 1 species